rnacentral:rRNA from 2 species
AACUCUGAGACAGGUGCUGCAUGGCUGUCGUCAGCUCGUGUUGUGAAAUGUUGGGUUAAGUCCCGCAACGAGCGCAACCCUUAUCCUUGUUUGCCAGCGAGUAAUGUCGGGAACUCCAGGGAGACUGCCGGUGAUAAACCGGAGGAAGGUGGGGACGACGUCAAGUCAUCAUGGCCCUUACGAGUAGGGCUACACACGUGCUACAA